rnacentral:rRNA from 1 species
GAUGAACGCUGGCGGCGUGCCUAAUACAUGCAAGUCUAGCUAACAGACGAGGAGCUUGCUCCUCUGACGUUAGCGGCGGACGGGUGAGUAACACGUGGAUAACCUACCUAUAAGACUGGGAUAACUUCAGGAAACCGGAGCUAAUACCGGAUAAUAUAUUUAAUCGCAUGGUUAAAUAGUGAAAGACGGCUUUGCUGUCACUUAUAGAUGGAUCCGCGCCGCAUUAGAUAGUUGGUAAGGUAAAGGGGUACCAAGGAAACGAUGCGUAGCCGAACUGAGAGGGUGAUCGGCCACACUGGAACUGAGACACGGUCCAGACGCCUACAGACAGCACCAGUAGGGAUUCUUCCGCAAAGGGCGAAAGCCUGUCGGAGCAACACCGCGUGAGUGAUGAAGGUCUUCGGAUCGUACAACUCUGUUAUUAGGGAAGUACAAAUGUUUAAGUAACUAUGCACGUCUUGACGGUACCUAAUCAGAAAGCCACGGCUAACUACGUG